GUGAAUCAUCGAAUCUUUGAACGCAAAUUGCACUCUCCGGUUUUCCGGGAGAGUAUGCCUGUUUGAGGGUCAGCCUAAAAAAAACCGAAAUUGUUGCUGUUAUUUAAUGGUGACUUUCGUCGGAGAUUGGGUUAUCUUAACCCUUUUUUUUUUUUUGGUUUAAGCGCCUUAAAUUUUUUCUUCUCAUUUCAUUGAACGUUUUU
rnacentral:misc_RNA from 1 species